UUUGGUGUGUAUGUAACAUGACAGAAUGUGACUUUGCAUCGAAAAGCCAAAAAAACACAAAGAUGGAGAAACAUCUUGCAUCCUCUCCUUCCUCCACAACUCCCCCCCUCCUCAAUCCUGUCAAGUUUUAUUAUCCUCAGAAGACAACCAGUGCUCUGGUUCUGGACUGGAAGAGGGAAGAAGGUAGAUGGCUUCAGACCUAUCUAACCUUUUGUCCCUAGACUGCUGCAAAGCCACUGGGCUGAAACAGUUGGAUGUGGGAGAACACACUAGAACUGCAGUACAGAGAAAUUUGGCAACUUUUCCAAGGUCAUCUAUGAAAUGAAACACUUUGUUUUCCCAUAAUCUAUUAUGACUUCUGAAUUGCUGUGAAAGCACAAAGGAGAAGAUAGCCCAAGACAAAUGAUUUUUCUUAUUUGCAAAAGCUCCCAUUUAGGUAUUGAAAGAUUGCUGUCAGGUCACCUCAGAGCUUUCUCUUCUCCAGGCCGAACUCAGCUCUCUCAUCCUGUCCUCAUAGAAGAGGUGUUCUAUCCCUCGGAUCAUUUCUGUGGCCCUCCUUUGGACACGCAACAGGUUUGAAGAACCAUCAUUCUUAACCCCUCUUAUUACUGGGAAGAUCAUAUGUAUAUAUGAGUAACACUGAAACAGUCCUAUCUGGAAGAGCAAGUUUUAAAUAUAAUCCAUUAAAGUUGUGGAUCUGGCUUUGAGUCUUUAUCCAUUUUGUCUUACUUAGCCACAUCUCCUCUGCUUUUUGUCAGAAAGAUUUUCAGAUUCCAAGUAAACUUGACUUUGUGUAUACAUAUGAAUAAAAUUACUGGGCCAAUAUUAUCUAAUUUGAGUGGUUGGCAUAAUUGGAGCUAUGUUGAUUUACAAUAAAAACUAGGCCAUUAAAUCAGUGAGAGAUGACAGGGAAGCAAAGGAAUAAUAAAAUAUCCAAAAGAAUAUUUUAAAAACCAAAGGUGUCUAUUAUUCAUUUUCUUAAAUUAUCCCAUUAAAAUUAAGAUUUUUUUGGAAAAAGCUUAAAAACUCAUUAAGAUUUUACCUUUGCUUUUCCUUAACAUCUUCUCAUAGCUGUUCCCAAUAUAUUCUCCAACA